rnacentral:rRNA from 1 species
AGGAAGAGAAAAUAAAUGAAUGAUUCCCCCAGUAGUGGCGAGCGAACGGGGAACAGCCCAAACCAGUGGCGUCGCAAGGCGUGGCUGGGGUUGUAGGACCGCGACAUUGUAUGCAAAUCGUGAACAGAACACUUUGGAAAAUGUGACCAUAGACGGUGAUAGUCCAGUAUGUGAAGCGAAAUGCGGCAUAGCGGUAUCCUGAGUAACGCGGGACACGAGGAAUCCUGCGCGAAUCUGCCGGGACCAUCCGGUAAGGCUAAAUACUCCCGUGAGACCGAUAGCGAACGAGUACUGUGAAGGAAAGGUGAAAAGAACCCCGAGCAGGGGAGUGAAAUAGUUCCUGAAACCAUGCGCCUACAAGCGGUCGGAGCAUCUUACGAUGUGACGGCGUGCCUUUUGCAUAAUGAUCCUACGAGUUACCGUCACUGGCGAGGUUGAGUGUCACGAGACACGUAGCCGCAGUGAAAGCGAGCCUGAACAGGGCGCACAGUCAGUGGGGGUAGACGCGAAACCAAGUGAUCUACACUUGGCCAGGAUGAAGUCCCGGUAACACGGGAUGGAGGUCCGCACCAAUAAGCGUUGAAAAGCUUCUGGAUGAGCCGAGUGUAGGAGUGAAAGGCCAAUCAAACUUGGAGAUAGCUCGUACUCCCCGAAAGGCAUUUAGGUGCCGCGUCGGAUGGUCACCGUGAGAGGUAGAGCGACCGAUAGGACAAGAGGGCUUCACCGCCUAUCGAGUCCUGACGAACUCCGAAUGCUCACGGUCUGCAGUCCGGCAGUAAGGGGGCGGGUGCUAAGGUCCGUCCCCGAGAGGAGAAGAAUCCAGACCGCCGUCUAAGGUCCCGGAGUUCUGCCUGAGUUAGUCUAACGAAGUCUGGUCCCUAUGACAGCUAGGAUGUUGGCUUGGAAGCAGCCAUUCAUUCAAAGAGUGCGUAACAGCUCACUAGUCGAGGGUCCGGGCAUGGAUAAUAAUCGGGUAUAAGGCAGACACCGAAGGCGCGGGAUAGCAAUUUUGAAAGUAUCGGUAGGGGAGCAUACUCACAGCGUUGAAUGGUGUACGUAAGUUAUCCUGGAGCGGUGAGUAAAGCAAAUGUAGGAAUAAGUAACGAUAAGGAGGGUUAGAUUCCCUCCCGCUGUAAGACCAAGGUUUCCCGGGCAAUGCCAAUCAGCCCGGGGUCAGUCGGGUCCUAAGUCUAAGCCGAACGGCGAUGGCGAUGGCAGAGACGGUUAAUAUUCCGUCACUGCCGCAUGGGGCGACGUGGAGACGGAGCAGUGAAACCACCGCGGGGCGACGGAAGUCCCCGUUGAAGGGUGUAGGUGUUGAGGAAGGCAGGCAAAUCCACCUUCCGAGCUGAACCUGACAGUACGGAGUCCUCUUCGGAGGAAUCUGAUAGUGUGGGUAAUCAUACUCCCGAGAAAAUCCGCUAAGCUUAACCCAUGCGGCACCCGUACCGCAAACGGACACACGUGGUCGGGUAGAACAUACUAAGGCGUUGAGAGAUUCAUGGUUAAGGAACUAGGCAAAUUGACCCUGUAACUUCGGGAUAAAGGGUCCUCGUGAUGAGCGAGGCGCAGAGAAUAGGUCCAGGCAACUGUUUAACAAAAACACAGGGCUGUGCAAACUCGAAAGAUGAGGUAUACAGCCUGACACCUGCCCGGUGCCGGAAGGUUAAGAGGAGAUGUCACUCGCAAGAGGAAGCAUUGAAUUGAAGCCCCGGUAAACGGCGGCCGUAACUAUAACGGUCCUAAGGUAGCGAAAUUCCUUGUCGGGUAAGUUCCGACCUGCACGAAUGGUGUAAUGAUCCGGACGCUGUCUCAACCAUGAGCUCAGUGAAAUUGUAGUAUCGGUGAAGAUGCCGAUUACCCGCGAUGGGACGAAAAGACCCCGUGAACCUUUACUACAGCUUAGCAUUGACCUUGGUCAUCCGAUGUGUAGGAUAGGCCGGAGGCUUCGAAGCGGGAGCGCCAGCUUUCGUGGAGCCAUCCUUGAAAUACGGCCCUUUGGCUGUCUGAGGUCUAACGCGCG